GUGAGAUGAAAUUAAUGUUUGGACACACGAUUUUACGUUGAUUCCAUCGCAUGA
rnacentral:pre_miRNA from 1 species